GCCAAACAGCUAGCUUAACCAAUUAAACUUCUAACCCCCCUCAAAACGUUCAAAAAUAAACCAAAAUACCAAAUCAAAACAUUUACUUGGCCCCAGUAUGGGCGACAGAAAAGGCUCCUAAAAGCAAUAGAUAAAGUACCGCAAGGGAAAGCUGAAAAAGUAAUGAAACAACCCAUUAAAGCACCAAAAAGCAGAGCUUAAUCCUCGUACCUUUUGCAUCAUGAUUUAGCCAGUCCAAUCAAGCAAAGCGCACUUUAGUUUGUGCCCCCGAAACCAAGUGAGCUACCUCGAGACAGCUGUAAAGAGCAAACCCGUCUCUGUGGCAAAAGAGUGGGAAGAUCUCCAGGUAGCAGUGACAGACCUACCGAACUUGGUGAUAGCUGGUUGCCUAAGAAUUGGAUAGAAGUUCAGCCUCGCACCCCUUACGCCUCCUUCCCCACGACAACAAGAGAAAUGCGAGAGUUACUCAAAGGGGGUACAGCCCCUUUGACCCAGAACACAACCUUCCCGGGAGGUUAAGGACUACAUUCUAUAAGACCCCUGCCUACGUAGGCCUAAAAGCAGCCACCACAACAGAAAGCGUUAAAGCUCGAGCAGACAAAAGUCCUUUAUUCAAGUAUUAUCUUCAAAACCCCCAGUUUUACUAGGCCUCUCUAUAGCUUAUAGAGAAGAUCCUGCUAGAAUGAGUAACAAGAAGACACCCUCUUCUCCUGGCACAAGUGUUAGUCAGAUCGGACCAACCACUGACAAUUAACGAACCCAACUAAAGAGGGCAUUGUGGCCUUCAUAGACCCCAAGAAAACCCCACAGUCAAUAACCGUUACCCCUACACCGGAGUGCCUACCAGGAAAGACUAAAAGAGGGGGAAGGAACUCGGCAAACACAAGCCUCGCCUGUUUACCAAAAACAUCGCCUCUCGCAACCAAUGAGAGGUCCUGCCUGCCCGGUGACUAAGUUUAACGGCCGCGGUAUUUUGACCGUGCAAAGGUAGCGCAAUCACUUGUUCUUUAAAUAAGGACCUGUAUGAAAGGCAAAACGAGGGCUUUACUGUCUCCCCCCUCAAGUCAGUGAAAUUGAUCUGCCCGUGCAGAAGCGGACAUAAAAAUACAAGACGAGAAGACCCUUUGGAGCUUUAGACACAAGUCAUCUAUGUCAAUAAUGCUGUCCACCAGCCAAAACUAAAUAGAAUUGACCCACGUCUUCGGUUGGGGCGACCGCGGGGCAAAACAAAACCCCCACGUGGAAAUGAGGCAAAGUCCUUACAACCAAGAGGCACCCCUCUAAGUCACAGAACUUCUGACCAGCAGAUCCGGCUACCCGCCGAUCAACGGACCAAGUUACCCAAGGGAUAACAGCGCAAUCCUCUUUAAGAGUCCCCAUCGACAAGAGGGUUUACGACCUCGAUGUUGGAUCAGGACAUCCUAAUGGUGCAGCCGCUAUUAAGGGUUCGUUUGUUCAACGAUUAAAGUCCUACGUGAUCUGAGUUCAGACCGGAGUAAUCCAGGUCAGUUUCUAUCUGUAAUACAAUCACCCCUAGUACGAAAGGACCGGAGUGAUAAGGCCAAUACUACAAGCACGCCUUACUUCCACUUAAUGCAGCCAACUAAAUUAAGUAAUAAAUGAGUACACCUAAGCCUAAGACAACGGCUG
rnacentral:rRNA from 1 species